rnacentral:rRNA from 1 species
GUACUUUCAGCAGUGAGGAAGGUGGAGUCGUUAAUAGCGGCCUCAUUUGACGUUAGCUGCAGAAAGAAGCACCGGCUAACUCCGUGCCAGCAGCCGCGGUAAUACGGAGGGUGCGAGCGUUAAUCGGAAUUACUGGGCGUAAAAGCGCAUGCAGGUGGUUUGUUAAGUCAGAUGUGAAAGCCCGGGGCUCAACCUCGGAAUAGCAUUUGAAAACUGGCAGACUAGAGUACUGUAGAGGGGGUAGAAUUUCAGGUGUAGCGGUGAAAAUGCGUAGAGAUCUGAAGGAAUACCGGUGGCGAAGGCGGCCCCCUGGACAGAUACUGACACUCAGAUGCGAAAAGCGUGGGGAGCAAACAGGAUUAGAUACCCUGGUAG